rnacentral:lncRNA from 1 species
CGCCACGGGCUGCAUGGGCAGCGCUCGCGCCCCGCCGCUGAGCCGCCGGGGAGCCGUCCAGUCUUCGAAUCCCACCACAGCAUGUUCCGAAGAGAUGAUUGGAAGAUGGAAGUGGAGGGUUAAAUAAUGAAAUGCAGCUAACAUUUCGGAAAGUUUCUAAAAGUUGUACAACAUGCCCUACAGCUACUCUUUAAAUCUCCAAAUCAAAUGAGUUUCAGGUGGAGCCUCUGGGAGGUGAUGAGGUCAUGAGAGUGGAGCCUCAUGAAUGGGAUGAGCACUCCUACAAAAAGGAUUCCAGAGAGCUCGCUUGCUCCUUCCACAGUGUGAGGACACAGAGGGAAGGCUCUGUCUAUGAAUGAGAAAGUGGGUCCCCACCAGACAUUGAAUCUGCCGCAUCUUGAUACUGGACUUCCAGUCUCCAGAACUGUGGGCAAUAAAUGUCUGUUGUUUAUUACCUGUCCAGUAUCUUUGGUAUUUUGCUAUAGCAACCCAAAUGGACUAAGAAAACACCAGAGGCCAUACCUAAUAAAAAUAUUGACAUCAC